rnacentral:tRNA from 1 species
UCCCUGGUGGCUCAGCUGGUAAAGAAUCCACCUGCAAUGUGGAUCGACCUGGGUUCGAUCCCUGGAUUGGGAA